AGUGGCGGACUGGUGAGUAACACGUAAGCAACCUGCCUAUCAGAGGGGAAUAACAGUGAGAAAUCAUUGCUAAUACCGCAUAUGCUCACAGUAUCACAUGAUACAGUGAGGAAAGGAGCAAUCCGCUGAUAGAUGGGCUUGCGCCUGAUUAGGUAGUUGGCGGGGUGACGGCCCACCAAGCCCACGAUCAGUAGCCGGCCUGAGAGGGCGGACGGCCACACUGGGACUGAGACACGGCCCAGACUCCUGCGGGAGGCAGCAGUGGGGAAUAUUGCACAAUGGGGGGAACCCUGAUGCAGCGACGCCNCGUGAAGGAAGAAGUAUCUCGGUAUGUAAACUUCUAUCAGCAGGGAAGAAAGAGGACGGUACCUGACUAAGAAGCCCCGGCUAACUACGUGCCAGCAGCCGCGGUAAUACGUAGGGGGCGAGCGUUAUCCGGAUUUACUGGGUGUAAAGGGAGCGUANACGGCCAUGCAAGCUCGGUGUGAAAGGUGCGGGCACAACCCGCAGACUGCACUGAGAACUGUAUGGCUGGAGUGCCGGAGGGGCAGGCGGAAUUCCUGGUGUAGCGGUGAAAUGCGUAGAUAUCAGGAGGAACACCGGUGGCGAAGGCGGCCUGCUGGACGGCGACUGACGUUGAGGCUCGAAAGCGUGGGAGCGAACAGGAUUAAAUACCCUGGUA
rnacentral:rRNA from 1 species